GCGCCCGUAGCUCAGCGGAUAGAGCAACCGCCUUCUAAGCGGCAGGCCGCAGGUUCGAUCCCUGCCGGGCGCG
rnacentral:tRNA from 1 species